rnacentral:rRNA from 1 species
GUGAGGAAUAUUGGUCAAUGGACGAGAGUCUGAACCAGCCAAGUCGCGUGAAGGAAGACGGUUCUAUGAAUUGUAAACUUCUUUUGUGCAGGAAUAAAGUGGGUUACGUGUAACCUUUUGUAUGUACUGUACGAAUAAGGAUCGGCUAACUCCGUGCCAGCAGCCGCGGUAAUACGGAGGAUCCGAGCGUUAUCCGGAUUUAUUGGGUUUAAAGGGUGCGUAGGUGGAUUGAUAAGUCAGCGGUGAAAGUUUGCAGCUUAACUGUAAAAUUGCCGUUGAAACUGUCGGUCUUGAGUGCAAAUGAGGUAGGCGGAAUGUGUUGUGUAGCGGUGAAAUGCUUAGAUAUAACACAGAACUCCGAUUGCGAAGGCAGCUUACUGGGAUGCAACUGACACUGAUGCACGAAAGCGUGGGUAUCAAACAGGAUUAGAUACCCUGGUAGUCC